ACGCACGCUGGCGGCGUGCUUAACACCUGCCAGUCGCACGGAAAGGCCUCUUUCGGGGGGUACUCGAGUGGCGAACGGGUGAGUAACACGUGAGUAACCUGCCCUUGACUUUGGGAUAACUUCAGGAAACUGGGGCUAAUACCGGAUAGGAGCUCCUGCUGCAUGGUGGGGGUUGGAAAGUUUCGGCGGUUGGGGAUGGACUCGCGGCUUAUCAGCUUGUUGGUGGGGUAGUGGCUUACCAAGGCUUUGACGGGUAGCCGGCCUGAGAGGGUGACCGGCCACAUUGGGACUGAGAUACGGCCCAGACUCCUACGGGAGGCAGCAGUGGGGAAUAUUGCACAAUGGGUGGAAGCCUGAUGCAGCAACGCCGUGUGCGGGAUGACGGCCUUCGGGUUGUAAACCGCUUUCGCUCAUGACGAAGCUUUGUGUGACGGUAGUGGGUAAAGAAGCACCGGCUAACUACGUG
rnacentral:rRNA from 1 species